rnacentral:rRNA from 1 species
CAAUAGCGUAUAUUAAAGUUGUUGCAGUUAAAAAGCUCGUAGUUGGAUUUCUGGUAGGAGCGACCGUGCCGAACUUGAUUGUUCGAGUAUUGUGUUGUCUUCAGCCAUCCUCGUGGAGAACUUUUCUAACAUUAACUUGUUGGGAUUGGGACCCGCGUCGUUUACUGUGAAAAAAUUAGAGUGUUUAAAGCAGGCAUUAGCUUGAAUACAUUAGCAUGGAAUAAUAAGAUAGGACUUUGGUACUAUUUUGUUGGUUUGCCUACCAAAUUAAUGAUCAACAGGAACAGUUUGAGGAUAUUCGUAUGAACAUGUCAGAGGUGAAAUUCUUGGAUUUUGAUCAGACGAACUACUGCGAAAGCAUUUAUCAAGGAUGUUUUCAUUAA